AAUGAAGUGCCUGAGAAAAGGGUUAUUUUGAUAGAAUAAAUUAUGUACUUUAAUACCUUCAUUA
rnacentral:tRNA from 1 species